GCCCGCUUAGCUCAGUGGUAGAGCGCGUCACUUGUAACAGAUCGUGAUCUGAGGUAUGAUGAGGUCGGUUGUUCAAUCCAGCCAGUGGGCA
rfam:Paxillus rubicundulus Ve08.2h10 scaffold_704_c1, whole genome shotgun sequence.